GCCGAUGUGGUGAAAUUGGCAGACACGAUCGACUCAAAAUCGAUUGGGCUUAAAACCCUUGUGGGUUCGACUCCCACCAUCGGCA
rnacentral:tRNA from 1 species